UCUUCUUCUCAAAUUGCUUAGAAAUUCUUUCUUUUUGUGCCAUAUCAUCCCUGAUAAUUCUCAUUAACAAUCGUCAUGUCAUUCCUAAGUUUGCAAAACCUAAUAUGCGUAAAAACCUAAACAAAAACAAUAACUCAGUUAAACCUAUAACUUGCCUCCGCCUCUCUUCGCUAUUUUCUUCCACCGGUGGAGCAAACUCUGCAUCUGCCUCUCCACCACCUACACAUCUCUAUUUAAGUUUUUGCUGCAAUGGUGUUGAUUAGGAGCUACAUGUGAUGGUGCUAGCGGUUAUGAUAGUACUGUGGAAGAUGGAGUUAAGGGCCUGAAUUAGAGAAGAAGCAGGGAUAUGAAGCUAUUAAUGUUGAAUCUAUUCAUUGAUUUAUCCGUUUGAUGUUACUAAUCUGUUCUUGGAUUUGUUUUGUAUAUCCCGAUAGCUAUGAUCAAUAACAAAAGGAAGAGGUCAAGAGACGAGAUAGUUUCCAGAUGGGGUUUCAAUUUUACAUAUAAAAACAAAAGGGUAAUUAUCAAACUUUGUACAUAGCAGAGACCAUAAUCACAGAAAGGUAAAAGGCCUUUCGUUAUGUUUUUUUUUUCCAGUUUACCUUCCACGGUACUGGAAUGUUAAAUGUGAUACUUUCUUUUGUAAAACUUUAUUGAAUAAAAAGAAAGAGAUGAUCCAUACUGUUUUGCAGCAGUUCAAAGAUUCAUAGAAGGUUCUCUAUUUAGCCUGCAUCAGUUGUUCAGGUUCUUUUUUUUGCAGUCAAUUGUCUCUCAAUUAUGUUGUUAUUUAAUUGUGGUUUCAUAUCUCCUUAUCCCCAGGUUCUUAGCGACAAACCCCUAAUUCCCUUAUUCUUUUUUAAGAUUCCGAUUUAUGUUUUGAUUCGUAAAAAUUCAGAGAGCUUCUGCUGUUGCAAAUAUGGAAUUCUCUGCAUCAGUUGUUCAGUUGAUUGGUUUAGUUUUUUUUAGAAUGCAGGUACAAAUGGAACCAUGAGCUUGAGGUUAGCCAGUUUCUCUUUUUAUUAUAAGAAAAAAGGAAAUUAAGGUGCUGUUGAUAAACUUGCAGAUUGUUGAUUUUAACAAUGUAAGUGUUAGUCCAACUAAGUGCAUCCGUUUACUUCUUCUUCUUUUUUCUUUGAAUGGGUGUUUUACAUAUUGAGUUCAUUUUAACAUUGAGUUCUCUCUUUGUGGUAUAUGGGUAUUUGAAAAAUGAAAAAUGACUCUCAUAAAAUCAGAGAUUGAACCGAGUGGUAUUGAUGGACUCAUUGGAUUCCCUGGAUUAAGACUUGGCAGCAAUCAAAAGAGCUUUGAUGAUAUCUUCAUUGAUGAGCUUCUACUAUCUUCAUAGCAUUUACUGUCCCCAAUAGUUUUGAUUUGUUGCACUACAUUUUUUCAAGACUUCCCAAAAAAAUCUGAAGUAAAUUUUUUUUGAUUGGUCCUGAACGGGCCGAGAUCUAUUGCAUCAUUAAUAAAAUUAUGGAUAUUAUUGCAUCAUUAUCUAUAGUAUUUUCUUACCCUUUGUAAAGCCCGCAAUUCUUUUGAGUAAUUCUGGAUAGAUAUAGUUUGAUCCCAUGGGUGAAGUUUGAUGUAAUUUUGGAAAUUGAUAAAAAUUGCUUGAGUAAUUGAAUUAUGGAUUACUAGCUAAUCUAUAGAUUAUAU